rnacentral:rRNA from 1 species
CUUGACUCCAGUUUGGCACUGUAAGGAGACAUGAGAGGUGUAGCAUAAGUGGGAGAUUCUUUACGGAUCGCCAGUGAAAUACCACUACUUUCAUCGUUUCCUUACUUACUUGGUGAGGCGGGACGCGCGUACGGUUCCCUGUGUUCCGUGCUCGGUGUUCUCGAACCAAGACUAGGAAGUUCACUCUUCCCGGUCGAUCCGAUCCAAGGACACUGCCAGGCCGGGAGUUUGACUGGGGCGGUACAUCUGUCAAAGAAUAACGCAGGUGUCCUAAGGCCAGCUCAGCGAGGACAGAAACCUCGCGUAGAGCACAAGGGCAAAAGCUGGCUUGAUCCCGAUGUUCAGUGAGCAUAGGGACUGGGAAACCACGGCCCAGCGAUCCUUUUGACUUGGAGACUUUCCAUCAAGAGGUGUCAGAAAAGUUACCACAGGGA